UACGUAGGGGGCAAGCGUUGUCCGGAGUGACUGGGCGUAAAGCGCGCGCAGGCGGCCCGCGAGGUGUCCUGUGAAAGCCCCGUGCUCAACGCGGGAGGGUCAGGGCAAACCGGCGGGCUUGAGGCCGGUAGAGGUGGGUGGAACUCCUGGUGGAGUGGUGAAAUGCGUAGAGAUCAGGAAGAACACCCGUGGCGAAGGCGGCCCACUGGGCCGGACCUGACGCUGAGGCGCGAAGGCGUGGGGAGCGAACGGG
rnacentral:rRNA from 1 species